AUGGAGUCGCUGACUCUGCGCGCCUCGCCGUCGUCGACCGCCUCGCCGCUGCUCCGCCUGCCCGGCCGGCGGCGCGCGGCGUCCGUCCGCGUCUCCGCCUCCGGCGCCGGCGAGCCGGACCUGUCCGUGACCGUGAACGGGCUGAAGAUGCCCAACCCGUUCGUGAUCGGCUCCGGCCCCCCCGGCACCAACUACACCGUCAUGAAGCGCGCCUUCGACGAGGGCUGGGGCGGCGUCAUCGCCAAGACCGUGUCCUUGGAUGCUGGAAAAGUUAUCAAUGUAACUCCUCGCUAUGCUCGGCUCAGGGCAGAUCCUAAUGGAUCUACCAAGAGUCCUAUCAUUGGAUGGCAGAACAUUGAACUUAUCAGUGAUCGACCUCUCGAGACAAUGCUUAACGAGUUCAAGCAACUGAAGAAGGAAUACCCUGAUAGGAUACUCAUUGGCUCAAUAAUGGAGGAAUACAACAAAGCAGCAUGGCAUGAGCUUAUUGAACGUGUUGAGGAAUCUGGAGUGGAUGCUCUUGAGAUAAAUUUCUCAUGCCCACAUGGCAUGCCUGAGCGAAAAAUGGGUGCCGCUGUUGGACAGGACUGUGCCUUGUUAGAGGAGGUUUCUGGUUGGAUAAAUGAGAAGGCCACCGUGCCUGUUUGGUCUAAGAUGACUCCUAACAUUACAGAUAUUACACAGCCUUCAAGGAUUGCUCUUAAGUCAGGUUCUGAAGGAAUUGCCGCUAUCAACACAAUUAUGAGUGUGAUGGGAAUUGAUCUCAAAACUUUGCGCCCAGAACCUUGUGUGGAGGGGUACUCCACACCUGGAGGAUAUUCUGCGAGAGCUGUGCACCCUAUAGCACUUGCGAAAGUCAUGCAGAUAGCAAGACUGAUCAAAGAGGAAUUUCCUGAAGGUCGAUCCCUCUCCGCCAUUGGCGGUGUUGAAACCGGCAAUGAUGCUGCUGAGUUUAUUCUACUUGGUGCAGAUACUGUACAGGUAUGCACAGGUGUAAUGAUGCAUGGUUAUGGCCUUGUGAAGAAGCUGUGUACAGAGUUGCAGGAUUUUAUGAGAAUGCACGACUUUACAUCAAUUGAAGAUUUCCGAGGGGCGUCUCUCCCCUACUUCACGACGCACACGGACCUGGUGCAGCGGCAGAAGGAGGCGAUCAAGCAGCGGAAGGCCAUCAGGAUGGGCCUGCAGUCGGACAAGGACUGGACCGGCGACGGGUUCGUCAAGGAGACCGAGAGCAUGGUCUCCAACUGA
rnacentral:rRNA from 1 species